rnacentral:rRNA from 1 species
GACGUAGGGCGCGAGCGUUGUCCGGAUUUAUUGGGCGUAAAGAGCUCGUAGGCGGCUUGUCGCGUCGAAUGUGAAAUCUCAGGGCUCAACUCUGACAUUGCAUUCGAUACGGGCAGGCUAGAGUUCGGUAGGGGAGACUGGAAUUCCUGGUGUAGCGGUGAAAUGCGCAGAUAUCAGGAGGAACACCGGUGGCGAAGGCGGGUCUCUGGGCAGUAACUGACGCUGAGGAGCGAAAGCGUGGGGAGCGAACAGGA